rnacentral:rRNA from 1 species
AUUGAACGCUGGCGGCAAGCCUAACACAUGCAAGUCGAGCGAGCGGCGGACGGGGUAGUCAUGUCUGGGAAACUGCCUGAUGGAGGGGGAUAACUACUGGAAACGGUAGCUAAUACCGCAUACCAUCAGAUGUGCCCAGAUGGGAUUAGCUAGUAGGUGGGGUAACGGCUCACCUAGGCGACGAUACCUAGCUGGUCUGGGAGGAUGACCAGCCACACGGGAACUGAGACACGGUCCAGACUCCUACGUGAGGAAGCAUUGGGGAAUAUUGCACAAUGGGCGCAAGCCUGAUGCAGCCAUGCCGCGUGUGUGAAGAAUGCCUUCGGUUUGUAAAGCACUUUCAGCGGGGAGGCGUUACCAACAGAAUAAGCACCGGCUAACUUCGUGCCAGCAGCCGCGGUAAUAC